rnacentral:tRNA from 1 species
AGACAACAAAAUGUUUAAUAUUAUUAAUUUUGUCACCUUAGGUCGAUCGGUAUCUCACGUUCUUAACUUAUUAAGAAUUUCAUUUCCUAAGUUUUUCUAGGUCACACCCAUAAUUUUUCCUGGGCCAUUAGCUCAGGUGGUUAGAGCGCGCCCCUGAUAAGGGUGAGGUCCCUGGUUCAAGUCCAGGAUGGCCCAUACUCUAUGUUGGGGGUAUAGCUCAGUUGGUAGAGCGCCUGCUUUGCAAGCAGGAUGUCAGCGGUUCGAGUCCGCUUACCUCCACUGAUUACCACCUCUUCCAUAAUUUGUAGAAAGGAAAUCUUUUGAGUUGUGAUCAAAGUCUGAACGAAUCUAGCUUCCUAAUGAAAUGAUUAAGAUGCUGGACUCAUUGAAUUAAUUUCAUUGUUUUCAGAGAACCUUGACAACUGCAUAGAUUAUUUUUAAAGACAAUAAGCAUCUUUAAUGAUGCAGAUUUAUUAUUUGUGCGAAUGCAUUAAUAACAAUUCUAUUAAGCUGAUGCUUCAAUUUUGAAGUUAUU